CACUCCUACGGGAGGCAGCAGUGGGGAAUAUUGGACAAUGGUCGCAAGCCUGAUCCAGCCAUGCCGCGUGAGUGAUGAAGGCCCUAGGGUUGUAAAGCUCUUUCACCGGUGAAGAUAAUGACGGUAACCGGAGAAGAAGCCCCGGCUAACUUCGUGCCAGCAGCCGCGGUAAUACGAAGGGGGCUAGCGUUGUUCGGAUUUACUGGGCGUAAAGCGCACGUAGGCGGACUAUUAAGUCAGGGGUGAAAUCCCGGGGCUCAACCCCGGAACUGCCUUUGAUACUGGUAGUCUUGAGUUCGAGAGAGGUGAGUGGAAUUCCGAGUGUAGAGGUGAAAUUCGUAGAUAUUCGGAGGAACACCAGUGGCGAAGGCGGCUCACUGGCUCGAUACUGACGCUGAGGUGCGAAAGCGUGGGGAGCAAACAGGAUUAGAUACCCGGGUAGUCCC
rnacentral:rRNA from 1 species